CGGAGGGUGUUGAGUAUAUGUGCUGUGCAUAUAUGUGUAUUGAGCCCACCUCCUAGUUCAUUAUAUAAUUGAGCUCGUGACCCACCUCUUGUACAUCGUAUAUAAGUGCCUUUGCACCUGAAAUACAUCGUACUGUACAUCUUAGUGGUUUUCACGGCUCAGACAGGUGUUCCUCUCUCCCCACCGCUCUCCUCUCCUCUCUAGCGACAACGGCGGCACCCGAGACGGCGACAGCGGCUGCACGCACCUGAGGGACCAACCGGAGGCGCGUGUAGCGAGCAGGAGGCGAUGUAGGCAGUGCAAUGAUCCGACGCGAGCUGGGGGCGACAAUGGCCUUCUCUGGUGUCGCUCUCCACCGACGGUCUCCAUUCAAGUGGAUGAUAACAAAUGCAUGAGGGAUAGAGAGGAAUGAGUUUUCUGGAACGCGUCUUCGUAUCUUAGUGUAUGGUGGGUACAAGUAAUGUUUGAUUCAAAAUUUAGACCUUUUUACCAAUAAUCAGUAGCAAAAUUUAGGAUUGUUGAGAAGAGAGGUGAACCUAAAGGCUUCGGUACUACUCUUAGGAUACUAUGUUGCUUCCAGGCCAUGGAUAAGAAUAGUUCAGUCGCUUGAGAGAUUGUUGAACAUAUGAAAUUGAUGGAAAUAUCUGGGCACCCUCAAGUUAAGUUGCUACCAAAA